GAAGUCUUGACAAGACAGCAAAGUGCUCUGGGUGAACUGCAGUUUUGAAAGGGAAAGUCACCGCCACUGAGACGACCUCACACGCAUUUAAUUUAUACAUGAUGGUGCUUCUGUAUUUUGAUGUGAACACACAAUCCUCACCCGAGCCGGAUGCUAGUCGGACAGUCGCAGAAAAACUUGACCACAGCGGCUCCAACCAGGACUCUGACUCUGGGGAUGAAGACACAGG